GUCCACGCCGUAAACGAUGUCUGCUAGCCGGUUGGGAUCCCUUGAGGUCUCGGUGGCGCAGCUAACGCGAUAAGCAGACCGCCUGGGGAGUACGGCCGCAAGGUUAAAACUCAAAUGAAUUGACGGGGGCCCGCACAAGCGGUGGAGCAUGUGGUUUAAUUCGAUGCAACGCGAAGAACCUUACCAGGUCUUGACAUCCAGGGAACUGUUCAGAGAUGGACGGGUGCCUUCGGGAACCCUGAGACAGGUGCUGCAUGGCUGUCGU
rnacentral:rRNA from 1 species